AGUGAACGCUGGCGGUAGGCCUAACACAUGCAAGUCGAACGGCAGCACAGUAAGAGCUUGCUCUUACGGGUGGCGAGUGGCGGACGGGUGAGGAAUACAUCGGAAUCUACUUUUUCGUGGGGGAUAACGUAGGGAAACUUACGCUAAUACCGCAUACGACCUACGGGUGAAAGCAGGGGAUCUUCGGACCUUGCGCGAUUGAAUGAGCCGAUGUCGGAUUAGCUAGUUGGCGGGGUAAAGGCCCACCAAGGCGACGAUCCGUAGCUGGUCUGAGAGGAUGAUCAGCCACACUGGAACUGAGACACGGCCCAGACUCCUACGGGAGGCAGCAGUGGGGAAUAUUGGACAAUGGGCGCAAGCCUGAUCCAGCCAUACCGCGUGGGUGAAGAAGGCCUUCGGGUUGUAAAGCCCUUUUGUUGGGAAAGAAAAGCAGCAGGUUAAUACCCCGCUGUUCUGACGGUACCCAAAGAGUAAGCACCGGCUAACUUCGUG
rnacentral:rRNA from 1 species